ACUCCUACGGGAGGCAGCAGUGGGGAAUCUUGCACAAUGGGCGAAAGCCUGAUGCAGCGACGCCGCGUGCGGGAUGAAGGCCUUCGGGUUGUAAACCGCUUUCAGCAGGGACGAGGCCGCAAGGUGACGGUACCUGCAGAAGAAGCCCCGGCUAACUACGUGCCAGCAGCCGCGGUAAUAC
rnacentral:rRNA from 1 species